GACGAAGGGGGCUAGCGUUGUUCGGAAUUACUGGGCGUAAAGCGAGUGUAGGUGGUUGUCGUUAGUCAGGGCGUGAAAGCCUUGAGCUCAACUCAAGAAAUGCGCUUGAUACUGGGCAGGCUAGAGGACCGGAGAGGAUAGUGGAAUUCCCAGUGUAGUGGUGAAAUACGUAGAGAUCGGGAGGAACACCUGUGGCGAAGGCGGCCGACUGGGCCGACC
rnacentral:rRNA from 1 species